rnacentral:rRNA from 1 species
GACGAACGCUGGCGGCGUGCUUAACACAUGCAAGUCGAACGAAGUGGCGAACGGGUGAGUAACGCGUAAUCAACCUGCCCUUCAGAGGGGGACAACAGUUGGACACGACUGCUAAUACAGCAUACUGAAGGAGGGGAUUGCGUCUGAUUAGCUAGUUGGAGGGGUAAGGGCCCACCAAGGCGAUGAUCAGUAGCCCGUCUGGGAGGAUGAACGGCCACAAUGGGACUGGAACAAGGCCCAGACUCCUACGGAAGGGAGCAGUGGGGGAUCUUCCGCAAUGGAGGAAAGUCUGACGGGGCAACGCCGCGGGAGUGAUGACGGCCUUCGGGUUGUAAAGCUCUGUUAAUCGGGACGCGGUACCGGAUUAGAAAGCCACGGCUAACUACGUGCCAGCAGCCGCGGUAAUUC